CAGUCGCCGCGGUAAUACGAAGGGUGCAAGCGUUACUCGGAAUUACUGGGCGUAAAGCGUACGUAGGUGGUGGUUUAAGUCCGUUGUGAAAGCCCUGGGCUCAACCUGGGAAUUGCAGUGGAUACUGGGUCACUAGAGUGUGGUAGAGGAUAGUGGAAUUUCCGGUGUAGCAGUGAAAUGCGUAGAGAUCGGAAGGAACAUCUGUGGCGAAGGCGACUAUCUGGGCCAACACUGACGCUCAUGCACGAAAGCGUGGGGAGCAAACAGGAUUAGAUACCCCGGUAGUCCCUGUCUCUUAUAC
rnacentral:rRNA from 1 species